rnacentral:rRNA from 1 species
AUUGAACGCUGGCGGCAGGCUUAACACAUGCAAGUCGAGCGAAGGCUUCGGUCUUAGCGGCGAACGGGUGAGUAAUACCUAGGAAUCUGCCUAUUAGUGGGGGAUAACGAAUCGAAAGGUUCGCUAAUACCGCAUACGUCCUACGGGAGAAAGGGGGGAGUCUUCGGACCUCUCGCUAAUAGAUGAGCCUAGGCCGGAUUAGCUAGUUGGUAGGGUAAAGGCCUACCAAGGCGACGAUCUGUAGCUGGUCUGAGAGGAUGGCCAGCCACACUGGAACUGAGACACGGUCCAGACUCCUACGGGAGGCAGCAGUGGGGAAGUAUUGGACAAUGGGGGCGAACCCUGAUCCAGCCAUGCCGCGUGUGUGAAGAAGGCCUCGGUU